rnacentral:rRNA from 1 species
AGUGAACGCUGGCGGUAGGCCUAACACAUGCAAGUCGAACGGCAGCACAGUAAGAGCUUGCUCUUACGGGUGGCGAGUGGCGGACGGGUGAGGAAUACAUCGGAAUCUACUUUUUCGUGGGGGAUAACGUAGGGAAACUUACGCUAAUACCGCAUACGACCUACGGGUGAAAGCAGGGGAUCUUCGGACCUUGCGCGAUUGAAUGAGCCGAUGUCGGAUUAGCUAGUUGGCGGGGUAAAGGCCCACCAAGGCGACGCUCCGUAGCUGGUCUGAGAGGAUGAUCAGCCACACUGGAACUGAGACACGGUCCAGACUCCUACGGGAGGCAGCAGUGGGGAAUAUUGGACAAUGGGCGCAAGCCUGAUCCAGCCAUACCGCGUGGGUGAAGAAGGCCUUCGGGCUGUAAAGCCCUUUUGUUGGGAAAGAAAAGCAGCAGGUUAAUACCCCGCUGUUCUGACGGUACCCAAAGAAUAAGCACCGGCUAACUUCGUG